CACUGUAAAUAAACAAUAAUAAAAGAUGGUCAUUAAUGACUUAAUGCUUUCAUAUUCAUGUUAAUGCUUUGAAAAUUAUCUUAUUUCUUUCAGAAUCUUUUGAUAAUAUUGCCCAAUGCAACAAAUGGAAAAAGCAUGCUUUAUGACAACCUCAGCAGCAGAACCCAUGACUUUCUCCUGGGUAGACGAGACAAAAAAGUUUGGUAUCAACACCCAUCUAACAAUUAAGAAAGUUAUCUGCAGCCACACAUCCACUGUAUACCAAGUUAUGAUGAUCAAUUAUGAAAAUGCAAAAGGAUUGAUAGAUCAGUAAACAAGCAACAAAAAGAUGGGUGCUCAUGGUGGCCUCCAAAUAAAUACAUGGACAGGCUGCUAAAGAGGGUCAGGAUGAUGGAGAUGCAAGAGCCAAAGACAGCACAGACCAAACACCAGGCCAGAAUUCUGCAUGAGUCAGUUUCCAGCCUUUUUCACAAAGUUGCCGACAACUGGAAGAAUGUCCCAAAUUGCUGCAAAAAGAAAUUCAAUUGAGUAAUUUUCACUCUAGAGACCCUGGGGUGACCACCAAGGACGAAUGCAAACUCCAGUGAGUGUCUCUAAGGUAGAUCCUAAUGCAGAUGGAUGGAAUGUUGAUCCGCCUAACAUGCAAGGUAAAAGAGCAUUUGAUAGCAUAGUGGAUAAACAAAGCUUUUUUCAUUUUCAGAGCAUUUUCAAAAACAAC